rnacentral:rRNA from 1 species
AUGCUCCUCGGGAAAGAUGGACUCUACGGAGCUCUUCAAAUCAAAAAUGAGGCAGAAACUUGCUACGUAGAAACUGACGGUGCAUGGGCAAGCACCGCCAAGAACUCAAACAUAAGAAAAGCUAUACAAAGGGUGUUAGGCAACUCUUUUUUAGAAAAGAUCAAAGAAGAUAUAUUCCUCAAUUUCCAGGAGCGCGUAAAGAAUCAAAACCUGACCACAUGCCUGAUAGCAAAACAAGUGCUGCUUGAUACUUUGAACAUUGUCUCUUCUUGUAAUGGCUCUCAACAUACAGAGAAGUUAGAGUCACCCGACCAUUUAUACAUGCCAACUGACAAAGAUAAUGGGUCUGGCAGUACUAUUAGAGUUGAUUCUAAUGGGAUUGAAAAUGGGCAGUGA